CUGCUUUGAAGGAAUCCUAAGAUGCACAAUUUUUCAAAAUGCUGCAAGCUAGUAGAUGACAUGGAAGAAUAAACACAUGAUCAGAAACUAAAGAAAGCUGACGUGGAAGAAAAGAAGAAAAAGAUGAAAGCAAUUGGAUCAAUUCACAGAAACCAUAUCAGCUGAUGUUCAAAAUGGAGGAAGACUCUCAAAACAAGUUAUCCAAAGGCUGAGGAAUUACCUGGUUUGUUGAACUCACGUGUGAUAAGGAACAUGCUAUUUGCUAAUGCAAGAAACCUCCGGAUAUCCCGUAUAGGAUGCUGUCAGUAAAAGCUCCCUGGAAUGUGAUGUUCCAAAGGAUACAGAGUGGAGAAGCCGUGACUUACUAUAGGCACCCUGUCACUUCAAUUAAUACAGCAUGCCCACCUCGAGCAAAGGAUGCUCUCAAUCCAAGGAAAUAUUCCAAUGGAUCUCUCUGGCUCUGAUGAGCAAUGGAUGAGAAAAAACAGAUGCAGAACGUCUGGUGCACACGGGAGAUGGUCCAUAACACCUGAAGGCCGCAUCUUUCUACCCCAAACAGCUAAGGCUAUCUAUAAAAUCACUGCUGGUGACACUGAAGAGUGA
rnacentral:lncRNA from 1 species